UACGUAGGGUGCAAGCGUUGUCCGGAAUUAUUGGGCGUAAAGAGCUCGUAGGCGGUCUGUCGCGUCUGCUGUGAAAACUCGGGGCUUAACCCCGGGCCUGCAGUGGAUACGGGCUGGCUGGAGGCAGGCAGGGGAGAACGGAAUUCCUGGUGUAGCGGUGAAAUGCGCAGAUAUCAGGAGGAACACCGGUGGCGAAGGCGGUUCUCUGGGCCUGUUCUGACGCUGAGGAGCGAAAGCGUGGGGAGCGAACAGG
rnacentral:rRNA from 1 species